ensembl:lncRNA
GCGAGAUCCCACAUGCUGCCGGGUUACUAAGCCCACGUGCCACAGCUACUGAGCCUAUGCUCCACAGCCCGUGCUCUGCAGCAAGACAAGCCCACACACCACAAAUGGAGAGUAGCCCCCACAGCAGCGAAGACCCAGCACAGCCAAAAACAAACGGGCUAAAGAGAAGAGCUGAAACAAAGAUAUGUUAAAGCUCAUAGGAAGGGUCAGAUCCUCCGCUUAGAGGAUCAGGGAAGACUGCCUGGAGGAGGUGACAUCGGAACUGAGCCUAAAGGGUAAACCUACGAAGAAUAGGGCACAGAGACGAUUGCAUCUCUCAGCCUUGCAGCGGGGGCAGCAGGUGACUGGUCCUGACGAGCACGAAGUGGGAAGAAAGGAGUGGUGGAAAAUUCUGGAUGAUGCUCCAUCCUCUCUCCCCUGGCUCUGGAGGCUGAGGAGACUGCAUGUACUGGAUGAACAGUUACAAGUGGCAGCUGGCCUGUGCGGCACCCUCAUGAGAAUUAUGAGAAGGCUUGCCGUCCAGGCUGCUCGGCUUGGUGAGAGUGAGCAGAGAGCAAGCUGGAUUUCAGCCUUGACCCACCCCCUCGGCCAGGCACUUGAGCAGUGGGCAACCCGCGCAACCG